rnacentral:rRNA from 1 species
UACGGAGGGAGCUAGCGUUGUUCGGAAUUACUGGGCGUAAAGCGCGCGUAGGCGGCUUUGUAAGUUAGAGGUGAAAGCCCGGGGCUCAACCCCGGAAUUGCCUUUAAGACUGCAUCGCUAGAAUCCGGGAGAGGUGAGUGGAAUUCCGAGUGUAGAGGUGAAAUUCGUAGAUAUUCGGAAGAACACCAGUGGCGAAGGCGGCUCACUGGAGCCGGUAUUGACGCUGAGGUGCGAAAGCGUGGGGAGCCAACAGG